rnacentral:rRNA from 1 species
UACGUAGGGUGCAAGCGUUGUCCGGAAUUAUUGGGCGUAAAGAGCUCGUAGGCGGUCUGUCGCGUCGGCUGUGAAAUCCCGAGGCUCAACCUCGGGUCUGCAGUCGAUACGGGCAAACUGGAGUACUGCAGGGGAGACUGGAAUUCCUGGUGUAGCGGUGAAAUGCGCAGAUAUCAGGAGGAACACCGGUGGCGAAGGCGGUUAGCUGGGCAGUUGCUGACGCUGAGGCACGAAAGCGUGGGUAGCAAACAGG